rnacentral:rRNA from 1 species
UACGGGGGGGGCAAGCGUUGUUCGGAAUUACUGGGCGUAAAGGGCUCGUAGGCGGCCAACUAAGUCAGACGUGAAAUCCCUCGGCUUAACCGGGGAACUGCAUCUGAUACUGGAUGGCUUGAGUUCGGGAGAGGGAUGCGGAAUUCCAGGUGUAGCGGUGAAAUGCGUAGAUAUCUGGAAGAACACCAAUGGCGAAGGCAGCAUCCUGGGAAGACCCUGACGCUGAUGUGCGAAAGCUAGGGGAGCGAACGGG